AGGAGUGGGAGGGCGGCUCACGGCUCGCAAGAGCUGAGGAAAUACCCCCCUCGUUCCUGGGCCAGGGGCGUAAAAGCCGGGGCGAGAGUCCCGCCGGGAGGCGCAGAAACGCCACAGCCUGCAGCAAGGAUGAUUCCCUGAGGAUGACGUUGCUGCAGGAUUUGGUGAAACGGCCCCCGCCCUGGAGCAAGUCCAAAUACCGGGAUCGGUUGCCCAGGACCGCCCGGAGGUAGGACGCUUAGACGAAUGCCGCCUGAAACAGAAGGGGGAUUACUACCCACACCU
rnacentral:RNase_P_RNA from 1 species